GACGAACGCUGGCGGCGUGCUUAACACAUGCAAGUCGAACGGUGAAGCGCUUGCCUUUUUGGUGGGUGUGGAUGAGUGGCGAACGGGUGAGUAACACGUGAGUAACCUGCCCUCUUCUUCUGGAUAACCUCAUGAAAGUGGGGCUAAUACGGGGUAUUCCGGGUCUGUCGCAUGGCGGGUUUGGGAAAGAUUGCGCCUUUGGUUGUUUUCGGUGGGGGAUGGGCUCGCGGCCUAUCAGCUUGUUGGUGGGGUGAUGGCCUACCAAGGCGGUGACGGGUAGCCGGCGUGAGAGGUUGGACGGCCACACUGGGACUGAGACACGGCCCAGACUCCUGCGGGAGGCAGCAGUGGGGAAUAGUGCACAAUGGGCGCAAGCCUGAUGCAGCGACGCCGCGUGAGGGAUGGAGGCCUUCGGGUUGUGAACCUCUUUCGCCAGUGAAGCAGGCCUGCUCCUGUGUGGGUGGGUUGACGGUAGCUGGAUAAGAAGCGCCGGCUAACUACGUG
rnacentral:rRNA from 1 species